ensembl:lncRNA
GGGCUUGUUAUAGUCUUGUUGUUGAAAUAAGACAAAGAUGUUUGUUGCAAGUAUGUAAACAUUUAGUAUUUUGUCUUUGUUGAAAGAAUAAACACAGAUAUGUUUAAAAUGCCUUCAGCUUUAAUUGCAGUAAUAUUUAGCUGAGAAUACAGGUCUGUACCUACACAUCCUAUUUUAACACUUUCUACACCAGAGUAUUGUUUUAAACUUUACCACGGGCUCAUGAAUCAGUAAUACUUCAAGAUCUCCCAGAAUGACAUACAGUACAUGUUCAUUGUUGUGGCUCAGUAGUGAACUGGACGUCUGUAAGAAUUACUGGAUACAAGCGGUAUAACAUGCUGAAUUCUAACUCAUUACAAUUUAUUAAUAGAUUUGUCCAAAAUGUAACUGAACAUAGUAAAUAUUGCUAAGUUGGAGAUCAUUUAUGGUAACCAUGGAGAUAAAUAUAAGCAAAUCCUGUAUGAUUUCCUCUCAAACUUGUCUUUAUUCUUUAUUCUACUUAAACAGUUGUCAAAUAAGGAAACAUCCUAAAUGUAUAUCAAAUAAAUAAAUAUAACAAUAACACAUUGAAGAAUAAAUAUUUAUUGGCACUGAGCUCCUAGCCACCUAGAAAAUGUUUUGGCAAACCUUGUUAAAAGUCAUCUUUUAAACUGACAGAGCAACCAGCAGCAACCAGAAGCCCUUUUUUACCACAUCUAAAGUGUUACUAAUGGUUGUGGUAUGAUUCUCUGUACACUCUGUUUCAGCUCUGAUACUUUUUCCACAAGUCCAGUGUUUUGUUUAUGUCUGUACCCGCUCACAUUUGUGGCACUGUAGUUUAUGACGAGGUGUGAGAGCAUUUUUUACUUAGUUCAUCUGGCAUUUCAAAUUGCGCACCGAGAAGAAAGCUUCCUCGGAUUUCACUGACAUAUCCAAACAAAGGAACUUCAAAUGUGUGAAAUGGAUCGCACAGGAUAACCAACUAUGCAACAGUGAUGGAAAAAGAUCUUCCAGUGGGAGGGGUGUCAUUCACCCCACCUUUAACCUCGUGGCUGUGUCUAGAUCCAGCACCUACCAGCUUUCAGCAGAGGAUUAAACAGCUAAUGACAGAGAAGUGCUGUGAUUGACAAGUUAAGGUUUCCUUCCUCGUCAGAAGGGCCUUUGUGUCUGUCUCUUGCCCAUUUCUUCCCAGAACUCACAUUUCACAUUCCACCGUGACUUGAACAAUUUCUAAAUUUCUUCAUUGUGAAAUAGCUACAAGUGAACUUGGAGCCACUCUAUUCACACCGUACCUUUAAACUGAAUAAUGAAUAAGUCUUAUUUAAAGUUCUUACACUGCUGUUUGUCUGCCUUGACCAGGUUUUCUCACAUUGCAUGUCCACUGUUCAUCAGUGCAGCAAACAUCUACAGUCUGCUGCAGUCAUCGUCUCAGAUGAGGGAAUUUUCAGCAUCAGUGAAACAUGUGGGAGUACGUAGUUACUGUAUAUUUAUAUUAAGCCUUUGACUGUAUUUGAAUUGAAAGAAGGGCUGUUGGUGGUGGGUAUCACUGCUUGUAAAAACUAAAACAACUUCAAACAAAAGAUUUUGAAUAACCCUGUUUAGAUAUGAUUUUUUCUGGAGAGCCCCUAGUACAUUCAAAGCUAGCACUCCUGGUUCACUGGCAUACAUGUACUGCUGUACGGACAUUCUAAACAUUUUGACAGCUAAGAAAAAACACAAUGCAGGAUGUGAAGGCAGGUCAAAAAAUGAAGUGAUCCUCCUACUAAUGUUCCUGUCAUAUGUUCUAAAAUGUAUGGCGUGUAAGUUAGCGCUACAUCAAUAGAAACUGACAGAGAAUAAUAGCAUGAAGAGCAAAGCUGGAAGGACUUGUCUGUCUGUCUCUCUCAGUCAUCUGGACCAACCUGUCCACAAUCACAGCCUCUUAGAAGAUUUGCUACUGGUUGGGGAAUUUGUAGCCGAGCGAUGCGUCAGGGGUUGUCAUAUAAAAUGUCCCUUCGGCACUGCUGCACUGACACGUGAAAGUCUAUGAAACAGCAAUCAAGACAUCGGUAGCACAGAGGCCAGAGCCAAGUGAACCCAGUCCCAGAGAUCGGGACCCAGAGAUGGCCCGUGAAAUGAGUUGGAGUUGGAAAACCACCAGAGGGAUAUUCCACGCUCUACUGCCAAUUUCACUAUCAUAAUCAGCCUCAGCUUAUAGAGUGAUAUUAUAAGCCUGGCUAUUUUCGCUGACACUUUUGCUCCUUUUUUCUUUUUCUUUUUUUUGGCACAGAUGAUAAGGAAGAUGAUACGAAUUAUGCAGUGACUGAACUGUAGAUUCUGCAAUAAAGAAAAAAUAAAGAAUGAAGCUGUUGAUUCAGACUCACAAAUAUCUGCUACGAGCUUGAUGCCUGGGUAAUGAUUGAUGGUGAAGAACUUCAUUACAUAAGCAUACCUGUCUCAAGUAAAAGACUGACAAAGUAAGCUGUCAUCAAACCAUCAGCUGAGUCCUACUGAAGUUGUAAAGGGCGCCCAUUAACCAAGGCCAAAUUGAAUCCAGAUGUUGUCAAGAAGGUUAUCGCUCUAAAAUAAAUGUUGUCUCAGCAUGUUGAUAUGCUUCUUAUACUCCUAUAAAAUAUAAAUAUGCAACCACAACAAAGCCACUCAAGUUAAUGAACCAACAGAAGUUAAUAGAUGUGGUUGCUUUGUUAAAACCUCCAUGUUUUCUGUCUCACUGGCCAUAUGUCCAAAAGUGAAUCGAAAGCUUUAAAGAAGGUGACAGGCUUUUAGAUUUCUGCAACAGUCUUUUUUUUUUAAGUGGGGCUUAUUGUAAACCAAAUCUGCAUGUAAAUGAAUAAAUCAUAGCAGGUAAAGUACAGCUUAUGAUUUCUCACUUUGUUUUUAUUGCUGUAGGAUGAACUGUAGGAUGAACUGAUUUCUCAGAAUUACCCGAAGCCAUGCGGCUGACAUAUCAGAAAAACCCAAAACAUCAUCAUGCAGUCCCUUUUAUCGCAGGAUCUGAUUUAUGUACACCACUACAGUAGCUAGUCACAUGACACGUGGAUAAGUGGCCUGAUUUUUUGAGUAUACCCAAAAAGUAAUGGUGAACUUACAGAAAUAAUGAGAUUCUUGAAUCCACAUCAGAAUAAAGCACCCAUUAACCUGAGGAGACAAAGUAAGUAGUAACUAAUUAGAUUUUGGUUGGUGCUAAUUGCGUCUUAUAUUGGACAGAAGGAGAUUUAUGGAUAUUAAGGCGAUCAACCUGAUGAGUUUUGUUCUGAUUUAACAGCGACUCCUUAUUAAAUUGUUCCCAAGUAAUUUAUCAUGAUUUAUUAUUUACUAGAUAUCUUUCCCCAACAUUUGGUUUGUUAAUUCUUUUUCUUUAAUUCCUGAGGAUUUUGCGUACUUUCUAUGAAUACUUUGUCUUUGUUCUAGAUGCAAAUAGCAAAUAGGCAUACGCCAUCAAUAGCUUUGAUUUCAUUCAACUGACCUUUCAAAAUGUAGGUCACUAUGUUUAUACCCUGUUGGGAGACCACUGUAAGCAAUUCUGCAAAAGAAGACAUUGAACUCGAUGUGAUGGUGUGUAAUGUGUUAUUUUUGUGACUGUUAUUGAGUUUCUUAAUAUGUAUUUAAUUUUCAUAUGCCACAUGUUUCAAUACACAUCUGGAUGUAUUUAAAUGAAUGUAUAACUGUUUCUAGAAUGUUUAUUUUUAUCUGUUGUACUUUUAAUUGUAUGCUUUUUUUAUGGAAAAGUUUUGCUGUUUAAAGAAAUUUCAGAUUUUAGAUAAUAUACUGCACCCUUUCUUCUCUCUUUAUUAACCAAUUUGGUACCAUUGGAGGUACUGUGAAGAACCAUUUAUAUAUUUAUACUGGACUCUUUGCAACCUAAGUACCAACCCCAUGAUUCUUUAGCCUGUAGAAGCAUCUUUAGCUAUGAUAACUUUAAGUAAUUAUUUUUUGUAUGACUUUACCUGUCCCAUUUCAUUGUCAAAGAUUUUAGUCCGUUCUGCUACACUGCAUUACUUCGGUUCAUUGACGUUUGCAAUCAUUCAUUUACACACAGCUUUCUAAAGGUCCCCCCACAGCAUUUCAGUUUUGUUAGGGUCUGAACUUUGUUUCAUUGCAGCACCUUGAUUCUUUUCUUUUUCAGCCAUUCUGUUGUGGCUGUGCUCAUUGUUGCACAAAACAAUUUCAGCUAAACUUUAGCCUGAUGGCCUGACAUCUGACUAUAGAAUACUUUGGUAUACAGAGAAGUUUAUGGUCAACUCACUGCAAUGUGGCUGCAAAAGGAACCAAAAUCAACCUCCCUCCACCACUGUGUUGCUGUGAGGUGUUUUUUUCUGAUGUGCUGGAUUUGUUUUUUGUCAAACGGGGCACUGUGAAUUAUCUCCAAACAUCUCAGCUGUGGUCCCUUCUGUCCAAAGGACAUUGUUCCAGAUGUGUUGUAGUUUGUUCAGAUUUAGCGUUGCAGACUGCAAUGCUGCCAUGUUUAUUUUUAAGCGAAGAGGUUUUCUCCUGGCAGUCCUUGCAAACAAUCCAUACCCGUUUAGUCUUUUUUCUAACUUUCUAACUUUGACCUUUAGCAUGCUAACUGAGGCCUGUGGAGUGCGAGAUGUAGCCCUUAGAUGUUUUGCGAUUUCUUUGAGCAUUGCAUGGCCCGAAUUUAGGGUGCAUUUGAUGGGAUGUCCACUCCCAGGAAGACUGUGCUAAUACACUCCUGAAUACUCCUGACAACAAAGUAUCAAAACAUUUGCUUUUAUAGAGGCGCUCACACUAUACUGAUGAUCAUUUAAUCCAGUGUUUUCAAUUAGCAGCAUCUGGCUGCUACUUACUCUUUUAAUUCCUGUGGAAGCAGUAAGUGUGUACUUAGUUUUUUACAAGAAUUGCAUUCAACCCUGUGAAAACUUUAUUUUUCACAUCACUAAAAUUCUCUCAGACACUUUUUUGAAGUGUUUUUUUUUUUUUCUACAGCUUCACUGUGAAGAACCACUUUCAGUUCCAGUUUGCACAUUUGUUAUGUAUACAAAAUGUCAGUCAGUUUGGCAGUGGUACUAGGUUCCAGAUUUGAGUUUGGAGUUUUGGUGUUAGGUUGACACAUUUGGAAGUUGUAUCUUUAGUAGCAUUAUUCCAAAAUUUCUCUCACUAUGACAGUAUCUGCUGCACCAUACACAGAUCUUUUUUUUUUUUUCCCAACUUCAGUCAUGUGAACUUCCUUUAUAAAAACUUUUAGGCUUUUACAAAGGUGAAAACAUCCCGUAACAUUUUACUGCAAAAAAAUAUUGUCAAAGUACCUCAUAAUAAAAGUAAAUCUCUAAAAUCUUCUAAAGGUUAGUCAGUUCUGAAAUUCCUAACACAGAAAAGGGUUUUGUUAUUGGUUUUAAGUGAACAGCUUUAUGCAUUUAGAAAGAAUAUCUGCGCUAGAUCACCACUUGUCUGUUAUAUUGAAUACUACAGUAGGAGACCUUUGAAAAAUCUGCGUAUACAUAAAUAAGCUUCUGUGUUCUUUAAUGCGUCUGUGUGUUAAGAAUGUCCUUUCGUAAUAUAAAUCUUCAACAUACUGCAUAGAUCUCUCAGCCACAGCCAGUGGUCUUCAUUUACUUUCAAACACAUCUGCCUUUGGUAUGAAUAUGGCUGUCAGUCCCAUGAAG